rnacentral:rRNA from 1 species
GACAGAGGGUGCGAACGUUGUUCGGAAUUACUGGGCGUAAAGCGCAUGUAGGCGGCAGCGCAAGUCGGGCGUGAAAUCCCACGGCUCAACCGUGGAAGUGCACUCGAAACUGCGCAGCUAGAGUCCCGGAGAGGAAGGUGGAAUGCUUGGUGUAGAGGUGAAAUUCGUAGAUAUCAAGCGGAACACCGGUGGCGAAGGCGGCCUUCUG